rnacentral:rRNA from 1 species
GCAGCCGCGGUAAUACGUAGGUGGCGAGCGUUGUCCGGAAUUAUUGGGCGUAAAGAGCAUGUAGGCGGUCUUUUAAGUCUGGAGUGAAAAUGCGGGGCUCAACCCCGUAUGGCUUUGGAUACUGGGAGACUUGAGUGCAGGAGAGGAAAGGGGAAUUCCCAGUGUAGCGGUGAAAUGCGUAGAUAUUGGGAGGAACACCAGUGGCGAAGGCGCCUUUCUGGACUGUGUCUGACGCUGAGAUGCGAAAGCCAGGGUAGCGAACGGGAUUAGAUACCCC